AAUUUAUGUUCGGCUUGAAAUGAGCUCGAGAUCGAUCGUUUGUUUAAGAAUUGAGCCGAAUGCAAGUUGAGUUUUCUAGCUCGAAAUCCUAAUGAGCCAAACACGAGAUCUAAUUAGCUCGCUCAUGUUCGGUUCGUUUAUUAAAUGAGUCAACACAAGAGCUAACCCAGCUUGCUCUUGUUGAGCUCAUUGACAUUCUAUUUUAUGAUCUGUUUGAUUUUGCAGAUUUUAAAGAUUGAGCUCCUGAUUUCGAUAAAGUCGUGGGAGACCACCCACAGUCCAACUCACAAUUGUACAGCGUGUUAGGAUUUGGUUAGAUUUAUAGAUUAAUUCUAGUUGAAUUAGAAUUAAUAUUUAAAUCUAUUAGAGAUAAAUUAAUAUUUAAAUAUUAAUUAGAGUAUGAAUUUAACUAAAUUAGAAUAAAUAUUUAAAUCUAUUGGAGAUAAACUAAAUAUAGAUUUAAAUAUUUAUUAGAAUAGAAAUUCUAAAUAUACUAGGAUUGGGAUACAUCUUUGAUUGAGCAUUAUAUAUAAUGCAUUGGGGCUAAUUAAUUAGCUAAGCUUGUGAGGGGAGGAGUACGGCCAAGUUGAGAUUCUUGAGGAGGGUCUACUGAGCUGUCUUAAAGCCAUUGGUGGACCGUACUACAGAGAAGCUUGGCCUGAGUUGUAUGCACCUAAUGCACGAGUACAUGAGAGAGAGAAAAAGAGAGAGUUAGUAUUCUUUGUGGAUUUAUAGAAGACGUGAGAAUGAUAGAAGAGAUUCAAAAAAAGGACUCGAAUUGUAGCUAUUUUGUUGAAGAAGAAAAGUCGGAUGUAAUAUUUUCAUAUUUAAUGAAUCUUAUUUUAUCCGUAUAUUUUUUGUUUGAUUUUUUUUUUUUAUAAUUGUAUCAGCUUCUACUAAGGAGACGGGUUUACAGUAAAAACUCGAUCGACACUUUCGUUGCGGAAUCCCAACAAUCAAUACCGAAUCCAUAGCAGUCGGUAUCGGAACGGGUUGCGGAUUCUCAAAAUUCAGUAUCAAACGAGUAUCGAAUUCCCAACACAGCGUUGCGUUCGGCCUU
rnacentral:lncRNA from 1 species